rnacentral:lncRNA from 1 species
CCUUGUCGCGCGCACGCACCGGGUGGCGUCGGAAAAAAGCGACGAAAAAGACACACAGAGCCGGAAAACAAAAAGGGGACACGGACGGGGUCCGCCCAUUGUCUUUGUGGUCGCUGUCAUCGUGACUCGUCGAGUGCGACUCACCAGCGCCCGUGCGUCGGCAGCACGUAGCCGGCGGCGGCGUUGCCCCUCCAUGCCGGGUCGGCCGACGGCGAAUAGGCGCCGUUGGGGUAUCCGCCAUUGUCAAUGCCGUCGUCGUCGGAAUACUCGACAUCGCUGCCCUCCUCCUCGUCAUAGUCGCUCCCGGGUUGGCUGCCGUCAUCGUCGCCAUCGUCAUCGCUGGCACCGGCGCUAUUGUCGCCGUAGGCGUAGCGCAGCGGCGACUGGGCGCCAAAGGGCAGCGACGGCUGGUACGGACGCUGCUGCUGUUGCUGCCACGCUAGAGGCAGGCCGCCAGGGCCAUGCGCGAGAUUGCGGGUGGGCGGCGGCGCGGUGCCGCGCCACACGGCGCUGGUGCCGACAAAGCCCUCGGGCUCGGCGCUGUGCCGGUACGGGUAGCGGAGGCGCGGGUCGGUCAUGGUGUCUCUGUGUGCAAGUGCGUGCGUGCGUGCGUGUGUGUCGGCGGUGGCUGUCGCUCCUUCUCGUCCUCGCGGCCCUGGCUCCUUUUCGUAUUUAUUUCUCUUGGUGGGACGCUGUUUUUGUUUCUAGGUCUGCUUGCGCGAGGACGACGGCGACGGCGAGUGCGCUUUACUCCUUGGGGGCGCGCGGCUCUGCGCGCCGCGACGGUCAAGCGCCGCCCCGCCGCACCAACGACCCACAUGCGCGCGCCAUUGCCCGCAGGCGCCAUUGCCCGCCACCGCAUGCGCAUGCGCGUUGCCGGUACCCCACGGCGCGGGCGGUGCCCUGCGCCGUGCUCUCUGCGAUCGCGAAUUUGUGCCUUGCUCUGGCCUUUUCGCUGCCACAAGGCCGCGCGGCGGCUGGCCCCCUUUACCGCCGUCUUUCUUUUUUCCGCUCUCAACAAAAUCGCAUUUUUUCUUUUUUUUAUUGACUGUCGCCGCUCGA